AUUGAACGCUGGCGGCAGGCCUAACACAUACAAGUCGAACGGUAACAGGAAGAAGCUUGCUUCUUUGCUGACGAGUGGCGGACGGGUGAGUAAUGUCUGGGAAACUGCCUGAUGGAGGGGGAUAACUACUGGAAACGGUAGCUAAUACCGCAUAACGUCGCAAGACCAAAGAGGGGGACCUUCGGGCCUCUUGCCAUCGGAUGUGCCCAGAUGGGAUUAGCUAGUAGGUGGGGUAACGGCUCACCUAGGCGACGAUCCCUAGCUGGUCUGAGAGGAUGACCAGCCACAAUGGAACUGAGACACGGUCCAGACUCCUACGGGAGGCAGCAGUGGGGAAUAUUGCACAAUGGGCGGAAGCCUGAUGCAGCCAUGCCGCGUGUAUGAAGAAGGCCUUCGGGUUUGAAAGUACUUUUAGCGGGGAGGAAGGGAGUAAAGUUAAUACCUUUGCUCAUUGACGUUACCCGCAGAAGAAGCACCGGCUAACUCCGUG
rnacentral:rRNA from 1 species